rnacentral:rRNA from 1 species
CCUGUAGUCGAAAAUGUUGUCUCUCUUGAGUGGAUCCUGAGUACGACGGAGCACGUGAAAUUCCGUCGGAAUCUGGGAGGACCAUCUCCUAAGGCUAAAUACUCUCUAGUGACCGAUAGUGAACCAGUACCGUGAGGGAAAGGUGAAAAGCACCCCGGAAGGGGAGUGAAAUAGAACCUGAAACCGUGUGCUUACAAGUAGUCAGAGCCCGUUAAUGGGUGAUGGCGUGCCUUUUGUAGAAUGAACCGGCGAGUUACGAUUUGAUGCAAGGUUAAGCAGUAAAUGUGGAGCCGUAGCGAAAGCGAGUCUGAAUAGGGCGUUUAGUAUUUGGUCGUAGACCCGAAACCAGGUGAUCUACCCUUGGUCAGGUUGAAGUUCAGGUAACACUGAAUGGAGGACCGAACCGACUUACGUUGAAAAGUGAGCGGAUGAACUGAGGGUAGCGGAGAAAUUCCAAUCGAACCUGGAGAUAGCUGGUUCUCUCCGAAAUAGCUUUAGGGCUAGCCUCAAGUGAUGAUUAUUGGAGGUAGAGCACUGUUUGGACGAGGGGCCCCUCUCGGGUUACCGAAUUCAGACAAACUCCGAAUGCCAAUUAAUUUAACUUGGGAGUCAGAACAUGGGUGAUAAGGUCCGUGUUCGAAAGGGAAACAGCCCAGACCACCAGCUAAGGUCCCAAAAUAUAUGUUAAGUGGAAAAGGAUGUGGCGUUGCCCAGACAACUAGGAUGUUGGCUUAGAAGCAGCCAUCAUUUAAAGAGUGCGUAAUAGCUCACUAGUCGAGUGACACUGCGCCGAAAAUGUACCGGGGCUAAACAUAUUACCGAAGCUGUGGAUUGUCCUUUGGACAAUGGUAGGAGAGCGUUCUAAGGGCGUUGAAGCAUGAUCGUAAGGACAUGUGGAGCGCUUAGAAGUGAGAAUGCCGGUGUGAGUAGCGAAAGACGGGUGAGAAUCCCGUCCACCGAUUGACUAAGGUUUCCAGAGGAAGGCUCGUCCGCUCUGGGUUAGUCGGGUCCUAAGCUGAGGCCGACAGGCGUAGGCGAUGGAUAACAGGUUGAUAUUCCUGUACCACCUAUA